GUCACUCAGGCAUGCAAGCAGGGUGCGUGCAUGCGCGUAUGUGCACGUGCACAUUGAUGCAUAUAGGUCUUAUACAUGCAUACAUAUAUUUUGAAAUAUAAAAAUGUAAACGAGGAUCAGAUAUAGAGUUUUUAACAAACGUGCGUGUUCAUAGGCGCCAAAUUCUUUCUCCGCCGGUGGCAGCGUCAUGCUUACUUAGCAACGAAAGAAGCUCUGAAGCGCCCACGCGCUUUGAAGAGGAGAAAAGCGGCGCGGUCACGUUUCCCGCGUGGUUUCAGACGCGACAUGUAAUGUAAAUGUUAAAGCAACUGUGCGUAUGUGUUGGCCGUUUCGGUGGCUGCCCGAGCCGAGCCCCGGAGGACCCAGGGGAUCAGGGCAUAUCUGCGUGUUUCUUUGUAGCACUUCCACUCAUAAAACAACAAGUGAGAAACCUUUUUGUGGUUAUAAUGUUUCAACCUGCGCUGAAAACGCGUUCUGAUGAUGUACUGGUAGCGCAGAUUGAUACUUUUUCGCAACUUUGAAUGACUAAGAGGGAACGUCCGUUUCUCAACCGAAGGCUGCAACCUCCGGAGGUCGCAUAUGCAGGCUGUAUGUCAUCAAGCCUUAUUAUUUUCAUACAUUUGCAACUCAUAAGCAUAUUACAACAAUGUAUGAUCAACAAAGAAUAACAGUCAAGCUUUCAAAAAUGAUAUUGGUAUGAAAAAUGACUGUAUAUUUGAAUCCAUGUUUCUUUGUCUUUUAGGUGUUGGCAACAGCAACAGACGUUGAAAAAACACUAGCUUCCUGUCUAUUUUUGUGAAUUGCUCACAGCAAGCGUUUGGAUGCUGAGCAUUGGGUGGUUGUGCAUCCACAUCCCCACUUCGUGGCUGGAAAGGCAGUUUGUUUUCUAGCUACUACAACUUCAAUUUUGUGUACCAGGAGCAAGCAUCUUGCACACUGGAGUUUAUUCAAAGAUGCUUCAUUGGACUGAACCCAUCCACCAAGACAGCAAAGGUGGUUAGCCAAAAAAGCGGGAAGGUACAGGAGAAAAAGAACAACUGCAUUAACCCUAACAUCUCCUCUCUACUCAAGCGGCU